GGUGUCUUUUGGGGUGUUUGCGGCUCCGAACAAACCUUUGAGAAACGCUGGCGCUUGGGGGCUUUGUGCUACAGAAGUGUGCCCAUCAUCAACGCGGUUUGAUGUCUGAGGAGCUCCCUGUGAUGGUCACGAAAAAUAACUGUUAAUGUGGAACUGAAAGUGGGGAUUUGUUAGUGGCAUAACCUUCCAGAGCUGUGUAGAACGCGGUUUUCACAACGAUGACUGUUGGCCGUUAAUUUUCUCUCUAUAAACAAAAACUCAGCUGCUCAGCUUUGUCCAGGAAUUAAAUCUGAGGAACAACUACUUUACAUUAAGGGUGACAGAACUCUGAAACAGGCUGCCCGGGAAGGUCGUGGAGUCUCUCUCUCUGGAGACAUUACAAACCCACCUGGAUGUGCUCCUGUAUCACCUGCUCUAGGUGACCUUGUCUUGGCAGGGGCAUUGACUAGAUGAUCUCCAGAAGCCCCUUCAAACCCUAACAAUUCUGUGAUACUGUGAUCUCUUUGUCUGGUAACAUGGUUUGUGCUAGAGGAUUAAAAAGGCCUUAAGAAUCUUUUUAUUUUUGACUUGAUGAAGUAGUUACAUUCCUGUAGUCUUUUUUCUUUUUCUUUUGAGAAAACCAUUUUUGUUGUUGUUUUACAAAAAUAGGUCUGUUUUUUUUUUCUGUCCUUGCUGCAGUAAUGAGAAUGCAUAUGAGUGACUUACCUGAUGCUCUUAAAAGAUGAGCGACAUGGAGAAAUAAUGUUUUUGUGGUGAUAUCAUGUUGGGAGUGAGAAAAGGUUUCCUACCUUGACCUUUUGUGCAAUGCUGAGAUACCAGAUUGAGGACUCAUGAAAUACAGGAGGUACAAUCUUCAGAGCAAAGUCAAAUCAGGUGGCUGAGCUGAUCCAACAGUUGUCCACUCCGGGAAAUGAGGUUUCACUUCUUCAUCCACCCCUUGCUGAUGUCCGUCAGAACCCUUGCUGAGCCAGAACAUUUCACUAAGCCAGCAGAAAGCCAUCCAGUGGUCUGAUGCGGUUUAAGAUUUGUUUGUUGGGUUUCGUUGGUUUUUUUUCAAACUAGCAUUAAUCUUAUGCCAGAUUAUUAAUUAGAAUAUCUCACAGACAAGACCAAAGACUGCUAGAGCCAGUUUAAUGUAGGAGGGUAGGGAGAUUCAACUUGCAGAUCGCUCAAAUAUUUAAUAGCCACAAUAGUGAACUGAUUCUCUAGGUUUUAUCACAAUUCCUGACUAGCGUCUGCUUCUGAAGCUGUGUUUUUGGUUUAACGUGAUGUUAUUCUCCUAACAGGUGCACUCCUUUAUUGCCGUGAUACCUUCACAUGAUUUACAAAGGUGUCAUUCUAAAUUUUUUUAAAAGUAAAAAUAACUGAAUAGAUUGAUCAGUCAGGAUUGAUUGAGGUACAUUGUCUUCUAUUGUCAUUCAAUCUGUCCUUGUUAAUAAACUUAUUUCUUCACUAGCUUUUCGAUUUUGAUCAGGAGUGGGAUGAUACUUUAGAUAGUAAUGAGAUAAUAAAGACAGUAGUUCAGUAAUCUGUUGUCAUGGGGCUUAUUUCACUUCACA